rnacentral:rRNA from 1 species
GGACUACUGGGGUAUCUAAUCCCGUUUGCUCCCCUGGCUUUCGUGCCUCAGCGUCAGGAAGUGUCCAGAGACUCGCCUUCGCCACUGGUGUUCCACUUGAUAUCUACGCAUUUCACUGCUACACCAAGUAUUCCAGUCUCCCCUCCACUCCUCCAGCCGGAUAGUAUCCAAUGCCGUUCCGCAGUUGAGCUGCGGGAUUUCACAUCAGACUUACCCGACCGCCUACGCACCCUUUACGCCCAGUGAAUCCGAACAACGCUUGGGACCUCUGUAUUACCGCGGCUGCUGGCAC